rnacentral:rRNA from 1 species
GUAGGUGGCAAGCGUUGUCCGGAAUUAUUGGGGCGUAAAGCGCGCGCAGGCGGUUCUUUAAGUCUGAUGUGAAAGCCCACGGGCUCAACCGUGGAGGGUCAUUGGAAACUGGAGAACUUGAGUACAGAGGAGGAAAGCGGAAUUCCACGUGUAGCGGUGAAAUGCGUAGAGAUGUGGAGGAACACCAGUGGCGAAGGCGGCUUUCUGGUCUGUAACUGACGCUGAGGCGCGAAAGCGUGGGGAGCAAACAGGAUUAGAUACCCUGGUAGUCCACGCCGUAAACGAUGAGUGCUAAGUGUUAGGGGGUUUCCGCCCCUUAGUGCUGCAGCUAACGCAUUAAGCACUCCGCCUGGGGAGUACGGCCGCAAAGGCUG